AUUGAACGCUGGCGGCAGGCCUAACACAUGCAAGUCGAGCGAGCGGCGGACGGGUGAGUAAUGUCUGGGAAACUGCCUGAUGGAGGGGGAUAACUACUGGAAACGGUAGAUAAUACCGCAUACCAUCAGAUGUGCCCAGAUGGGAUUAGCGAGUAGGUGGGGUAACGGCUCACCUAGGCGACGAUCCCUAGCUGCUCUGCGAGGAUGACCAGCCACACUGGAAAUGCGACACGGUCCAGAGUCCUACGGGAGGCAGCAGUGGGGAAGAUUGAACAAUGGGCGCAAGCCUGAUGCAGCCAUGCCGCGUGUGUGAAGAAGGCCUGCGGGUUGUAAAGCACUUUCAGCGGGGAGGCGUUACCCGCAGAAGUAGCACCGGCUAACUCCGUGACAGCAGCCGCGGUAAUAC
rnacentral:rRNA from 1 species